CGCAGAAACAGUUGACCUGACCUAGUGAGAGCAUGGAGACCCUAGUCGUAAAGCUGGGGAAACAGCAUUGGACCGAACCAAGCCCUCUGAAUGUGGACCUCAGGUCCCUGGCUUCUGACUUGUCUCUGCCUUUUGAACCUGUUAACUCCCAAUUCCUCGGGAGCAUUCAGGCUGCUUGGGCAUUUCCCUUCGUUAUCGGUUGGUGGAGCUGCACUGUUUUGUUUGGGUCGGAUCACUUGGGGCUUGGAGAGGAGCUGGUAGUGCUGAGUUCUGAGAAAAAUGGAAAUUGCUAUGCAGACCAGACAUGGAAUUCAGAGAAUCAACCUGCCUCUGCCUCCCAAAGCCUGGGAUUAAAG
rnacentral:lncRNA from 1 species